rnacentral:sRNA from 1 species
CACUUCCCUGAUCGGGCAGUGUCCGCCGCGGCACUGCGAGGUCCGAGGGGCAAUAGCCCUCUGAAACAAGACAAUCCGUGUGAGAUAAGAAAGAAGAGCCCACAAGACCAAGGAUGUAUUCUCAGUUUACAGACCACUGACCAGAGGCCACUCCAGGGUGUCAGGACUAAGAGAAGUCACAAAACAGCAGAUUUCCCAAGAGCAGCAGAAAAUGAUCCAGUCACAGAUAUCAUUUGAGGAUGUGGCUGUGGAUUUCACGUUGGAGGAAUGGCAGCUACUUAAUCCUACUCAGAAGAACUUGUACAGAGAUGUGAUGUUGGAGAACUAUAGCAAUCUGGUUUUCUUGGAAGUCUGGCUAGAUAAUCCCAAAAUGUGGCUCCGAGAUAAUCAAGACAACCUUAAAAGUAUGGAGAGAGGCCAUAAAUAUGAUGUUUUUGGAAAAAUAUUUAAUUCAAGCAUAAACAUUGUUCAUGUAGGAAUGAGAUCCCAUAAAUGUGGCACAGGAGAAAAAAGUUUGAAAUGUCCUUUUGAUUUGCUUAUUCCAAAAAAUAAUUGUGAAAGAAAGAAAAUUGAUGAACUCAAUAAGAAAUUAUUGUUCUGUAUCAAACCUGACAGAACCCAUGGUGGAAUAAAAUACUGUGAUUGCAAUACAUGUAGAAAAUCCAGCAACAAAGAGCCAUGGCUCACUGCUAAUCAUAUAACACACACAGGAGUCUAUUUAUGCAUGGAAUGUGGCAGAUUUUUUAACAAGAAGUCACAACUUGUUAUACACCAGAGAACUCAUACAGGAGAGAAGCCCUAUCAAUGCAGUGAGUGUGGAAAAGCCUUUUCACAGAAG